rnacentral:rRNA from 1 species
UACGGGGGGGGCAAGCGUUGUUCGGAAUUACUGGGCGUAAAGGGCUCGUAGGCGGCCAACUAAGUCGGAUGUGAAAUCCCUAGGCUCAACCUAGGAACUGCGUCUGAUACUGGAUGGCUUGAAUCCGGGAGAGGGAUGCAGAAUUCCAGGUGUAGCGGUGAAAUGCGUAGAUAUCUGGAGGAAUACCGGUGGCGAAGGCGGCAUCCUGGACCGGCAUUGACGCUGAGGAGCGAAAGCCAGGGGAGCAAAGCGGG